CAGCACAGCACCCCUCAUACACACACACACCCCUCACACACACACAACACCCCUCACACACACACACACACACACACAGCACCCCUCACACACACACAGCACCACUCAUACACACACACAGAACCCCUCACACACACACACAGCACCCCUCACACAUACACACAGCAUCCCUCAUACACACACACAGCACCCCUCAUACACACAGCACACACACAGCAACCCUCACACACACACACACAGCAACCCUCAGACACACACACAACAACCCUCAGACACACAGCACCCCUCACACACAGAACACCACACACAAACAC